UACGUAGGGUGCAAGCGUUGUCCGGAAUUAUUGGGCGUAAAGAGCUUGUAGGCGGUUUGCCGCGUCUGCUGUGAAAUUUCGGGGCUCAACCCCGAACUUGCAGUGGGUACGGGCAGACUAGAGUGUGGUAGGGGAGACUGGAAUUCCUGGUGUAGCGGUGAAAUGCGCAGAUAUCAGGAGGAACACCGGUGGCGAAGGCGGGUCUCUGGGCCGAUACUGACGCUGAGGAGCGAAAGCGUGGGGAGCGAACAGG
rnacentral:rRNA from 1 species